rnacentral:rRNA from 1 species
UUAAUUGAAGAGUUUGAUCAUGGCUCAGAUUGAACGCUGGCGGCAGGCCUAACACAUGCAAGUCGAGCGGCAGCACAGAGGAACUUGUUCCUUGGGUGGCGAGCGGCGGACGGGUGAGUAAUGCCUGGGAAAUUGCCCGGUAGAGGGGGAUAACCAUUGGAAACGAUGGCUAAUACCGCAUAACCUCGUAAGAGCAAAGCAGGGGACCUUCGGGCCUUGUGCUACCGGAUAUGCCCAGGUGGGAUUAGCUAGUUGGUGAGGUAAGGGCUCACCAAGGCGACGAUCCCUAGCUGG